AAUUAGUUAAUGCAAGACCUAAUGAUGGAAAUGUACCAGGUUCCAUGGCUAGGAGAAUGUCAGAAAGCCUCAUCAUUAGUGUGUUACAGAGGCAGUAAAGGAAAUCGAUGGUGAUGUUUCUUGUGUUGGUGAUGAGAAUCAGAGUGAGGAGGAAAUGGAUGACAGUCAAGACAAUCAUGAUUUCCACACUUUAACUCCAGGAAAAGGAAGCCACUUUCUGAUCACAGAUCCACAACAGAAAUGGAAGAUUCUGCAUGCAAGUGACAGAAGAUACAAAAAAUCCCAUGGACAUCAUGUGAAAUGAUUUUAAUCAAAAAACAUUUCAGAAAAGAUUACAAAAAUGUAAUAAGAACUUAGAUAAGUGUUAAAGACCAAGUAUAUAAUCUAGUUUAAAAAAAAAACCCAGAGAAAAUCUUGAUUUACACACUAAUUUCAAUUGAUAUAUUUUUGAGAAAAAUGAUAAACACUGUGUUUUGGAGCCACAAUUAGCAGUAUUGGGGGUUAAAUUGUUUGCAGCAGUUUUAUCAUUAUGAAACCUGCAUGGACCAUGAUACUUGCAUGACUGAAGAGUGAAGAAGAAACUGCAUGAUGUGUGUAGCAAAUGAUUUUGAAGUACAUGUAUUAAAUAUUCUGUGCAGAAGGAAAUUUUUUCCUUUUUUUUUUAUGAACAUGUUUUCAAGUAUCGCAUAACCUUUCUGAAAGUGAAAAAAAUGUGCAUGUCCCAAUUAAGUUUGAUCAAGUCUCCAAAUAAAGUUAU